CCGUGGAUCGAGCGGUCUACGGCUAGGCCUGUGGAUCGUGUUGGCAUUUCCCAUGUGUUUCUCAUGGUCCACGACACUAUUCCAUGGACCGAAGUGCAAUCUGAGGGCGUGGGUGGCUCCCAAUCUUGAUUCGACGAUCCAGGGGUUAUCUGGCUUUGUUUAGGACUCUAAUCCUUCUCUAAUUAGGUUUUAAACCCUAUUUAACCCUUUAAAUAGGGUUGAUCGAUAACAGAGAGGGGGUGGUUCGGAUUUGCGCCGUACGAAGCUCGUACAGAACCCAAGAGAAGAG
rnacentral:lncRNA from 1 species